UAGAAUUUAUUUGCAUAUUUGCAGAUGUUGUCCAACACAAUGUGGGUUGCUGUCAUUUUUGUUUUGUGCUUCAUCUCUUUUUCUUAUGCAAAUGAGGACACAUGUAUUAACGAUUCAACUGGAAUAUCUGAGUGCUGUGCAGAUUUUUAUAGAACAAUAUCAGGUUUAUGCAAACCUUGCAUUGGAUACUUUGGAAAAAACUGUUCUACACCGUGUUUUAUUGGAUUUUAUGGUCAUGGCUGUCGCAAAAGGUGUAAUUGCACUAGUGAUACACAUUUGUGUGACG